rnacentral:rRNA from 1 species
AGCGGCGGACGGGUGAGUAACGCGUGAACAAUCUGUCCCAGACAGGGGGAUAACAACCUGAAAAGGUUGCUAAUACCGCAUAAGACCACGUUCUCGCAUGGGAAUGGGGUAAAAGGAGCAAUCCGGUUUGGGGUGAGUUCGCGUCUGAUUAGCUAGUUGGUGAGGUAACGGCCCACCAAGGCGACGAUCAGUAGCCGAUCUGAGAGGAUGACCGGCCACAUUGGAACUGAGACACGGUCCAAACUCCUACGGGAGGCAGCAGUGGGGAAUAUUGGGCAAUGGGCGAAAGCCUGACCCAGCAACGCCGCGUGAGGGAAGAAGGUUUUCGGAUUGUAAACCUCUGUCCUUGGGGAAGAAGAACUGACGGUACCCAUGGAGGAAGCCCCGGCUAACUACGUGCCAGCAGCCGCGGUAAUACGUAGGGGGCAAGCGUUAUCCGGAAUUAUUGGGCGUAAAGCGUGCGUAGGUGGUUCUUUAAGCGCAGGGUUUAAGGCAAUGGCCCCACCAUUGUUCGCCCUGCGAACUGGAGGACUUGAGUGCAGGAGAGGAAAAGCGGAAUUCCUAGUGUAGCGGUGAAAUGCGUAGAUAUUAGGAGGAACACCAGUGGCGAAGGCGGCUUUCUGGACUGUAACUGACACUGAGGGCACGAAAGCGUGGGGAGCAAACAGGAUUAGAUACCCUGGUAGUCCACGCCGUAAACGAUGAGCACUAGGUGUCGGGGGAGCAAUCCUUCGGUGCCGCAGUUAACGCAUUAAGUGCUCCGCCUGGGGAGUACGCACGCAAGUGUGAAACUCAAAGGAAUUGACGGGGACCCGCACAAGCAGCGGAGCAUGUGGUUUAAUUCGAAGCAACGCGAAGAACCUUACCAGGACUUGACAUCCCUCUGACCGGUCCUUAACCGGACCUUCCCUUCGGGGCAGAGGAGACAGGUGGUGCAUGGUUGUCGUCAGCUCGUGUCGUGAGAUGUUGGGUUAAGUCCCGCAACGAGCGCAACCCUUGCCAUUAGUUGCCAUCAUUGAGUUGGGCACUCUAGUGGGACUGCCGGGGACAACUCGGAGGAAGGUGGGGAUGACGUCAAAUCAUCAUGCCCCUUAUGUUCUGGGCUACACACGUGCUACAAUGGCCGGUACAGAAAGCAGCGAACCCGCGAGGGGGAGCGAAUCUCGAAAACCGGUCCCAGUUCGGACUGCAGGCUGCAACCCGCCUGCACGAAGCCGGAGUAAAUAGUAAUCGCGGAUCAGAAUGCCGCGGUGAA